UCCACGAUCAACGUUCUUGUUGUUCUGCCAUUUCCGUUUGCAUGCAUGAGAAAUCUCGAUUUACAGUUAAUGAGAUUGAUCACAGAAAGAAGAAAGAAAUAGGGUGGUCCGGGUUUAAUGGAGAUUAUAUAAGUUUAUACAAAAGACAUCGAUGAGUGGUAGUGGGAUCUUGGCUGUAUGUGUUUAAGAAAGUUAAAAGGUGCUUAACUUGAUGAAGAAGCAUUUGCUAGCUUUUUGAAAUGGCUAAUUUGCUCCUUAAAUAAAUACGAAGAUACAGUCCUUUCUUGCUUUUUGACAGUCAAGAUUCUCUUGGACUACAUUUGUAUACGUGUGUGUGGAUAUGUAUAUAUGUGUGUUUUGAAAUUAGGGUAUGGCUUUUUUGGCCGUCCAUUACCAUAUCACCGAAAUAGAGAUGAGAUAGGGAGGCUUUUCUUUUUUCAAAGAUGACUCUUUUUUCACUUUUCAGUGACCGACCAUUCAAAGCUUCUUUUUCUUUAUUCAGUAGAUCUGAUAUUGACAAGUAAUUAAUUACAAUUAUCGGAAUCUGAAAGCAAUGCACCAUAGACAGGCUUCUUUUUCGUUUUCACACACUUCAACGUGCCAUGAAAAUGGACGUGUCUCGAUUGGAACAUGUGAGGGGGAUAUGGGACAUGGCACUGCUAGCUGCUCAAAUCACUUCAAAAAAGCUUUUAAUCACUAUUUCAAUGGCGGUUUCAUGCAGUAGGAUCUAGACUUCCAAUCACCAAUAUCUUAGUUGAAUUACAGUGAAUUAGGUUGUGCUAAAUCGUAGUGAGUUGAAUUUCAAUCA
rnacentral:lncRNA from 1 species